UGAGCCAAGUUUAGGGUUUUCUCAAAACCCAAGCAGUAUUGAACUGAAGAGUUUGAUCAUGGCUCAGAUUGAACGCUGGCGGCAGGCCUAACACAUGCAAGUCGAGCGGAYGAAGGGAGCUUGCUCCUGGAUUCAGCGGCGGACGGGUGAGUAAUGCCUAGGAAUCUGCCUGGUAGUGGGGGAUAACGUCCGGAAAC
rnacentral:rRNA from 1 species